rnacentral:rRNA from 1 species
CGGGCUAAACCCGCGUACAUGCCACCGGGGCAUCCCGGAGGCAGGAAAGGCUUCGGCCGGACAGGGAUGGGCAUGCGGCGCAUUAGGCAGUAGGCGGGGUAACGGCCCACCUAACCGACGAUGCGUAGGGGUUCUGAGAGGAAGGUCCCCCACACUGGUACUGAGACACGGACCAGACUCCUACGGGAGGCAGCAGUGAGGAAUAUUGGUCAAUGGUCGGGAGACUGAACCAGCCAAGCCGCGUGAGGGAGGAAGGUACAGAGUAUCGUAGACCUCUUUUGUCAGGGAACAAAGACUGGGACGCGUCCCCGGAUGAGUGUACCUGAAGAAAAAGCAUCGGCUAACUCCGUGCCAGCAGCCGCGGUAAUACGGAGGAUGCGAGCGUUAUCCGGAUUUAUUGGGUUUAAAGGGUGCGCAGGCGGUCUGUUAAGUCAGCGGUCAAAGCCCGGGGCUCAACCCCGGCCCGCCGUUGAAACUGGCAGUCUCGAGUUGGAGAGAAGUAUGCGGAAUGCGCGGUGUAGCGGUGAAAUGCAUAGAUAUCGCGCAGAACUCUGAUUGCGAAGGCAGCAUGCCGGCUCCACACUGACGCUGAGGCACGAAAGCGUGGGUAUCGAACAGGAUUAGAUACCCUGGUAGUCCACGCAGUAAACGA